UCUCCAUCAUGGCGGCAACCUUCUGCUCCAGCCGCCACACCUGCUCCCGAUACUUCCUGCGAAUCUGCCUGUAGGAACUCAAGGCUUUACUGGAAUAAAGCCAUCAAAAUCUGGACUGAGGUGAGAGGUGCGGCGUGACUUCCUGCUGCAGGGACAGGACGGCCGAGCAGAAGACCUUGAGGAACUAAAAUAUCUGACUCGGCCUGGAGGGAUUCUGCUUUGGAAGACGUAAUUUCCCAGUCAUCUUUGCUGCAGUUGGAGUCCUUCAUACCUGUUCGGUCUUCCGAUCUUCCACCUCGUCUCUGAGGUUUUCUGGGAUGAAAACUCCAGCUGCUUCCUGCGACUUCUGACCCAUUAAGCCCCAUUCAAGACAUCGCAGCUCCUUCUCCUUCAGACGGAUUAAAGCUCGAAGAUCUGACAUCUCCUCCUGGACAAAGGCAGUCAAACCACAAUCUAUGAUAAACAAGGGUAAUUCAUAGCAGCAUAGUUUGUGUUAAGUGGCACAACUAAAAACUUUAAUAGUUAAAGGAAGCCAGAAAGCAAAAAUCGAAUGUUAUUUUUGACUUCGACAGUAGUAGAACAGCAAUUUCUAGCUUUUAUGACUGAUUGCAGCUCCAUUUAGUUUAUAAAUAUAAGUGUUUCAAUUCGUUGUGAGCAACCAAAAAUAUAGUUAAAUAUAUUUAAUUCUAGGAUUCCUGUCUUUUAGUAUUCAUUAAACUGGUCUUAUUGCAAAAGUGCUGUUGUAAAAGUGUUUUAGUGUUGAAUAUGUAAUAAAAACUGCUGGCUGGUGAUAGAUUUAGAGCCCUGAAACUGAGCAUAUUUUCAUAAUAAUCAGGCUGUAGACCAGAUUUUUUUUCCUUUUUCUAACUUUUGCUCUUUAGUAAUCAUAAAAAUAUUUAAAAGAUUAGACUGCUACUUGUAAAUGUGUUCAUUUUUAAAAAUGUUGUUAAAAGUUUUGAUAAGAUGCAGCAGUAAAUGAACUUUUCACAGCUUUUUGCUACUGUUUUGAUCAAUUUGCGCAUUUUUGUGCUAAGUAGGUAGCCGAAAAUGACACAAAACAGGCUGAUGACAGCAUAUUUUUCACCAGUGUAUACAUUUAACCACUGAGCAAACAAAAACAGGGUUUACAGUUCUGUUCAUUCUGUGUUUUUAAUGAAAUACAAACCGUUAGCUGUUGCUAAAAAGCUUCAUUUAUUGCAAAAACUGGACUCUAGAGAUCACUGGAUGUCCAAGUCAGAAUACUGGUUUCCAGGUGAAUUUUGUUGAUUUUUUUUCCAAUUUUGACUUUGGAAUCUUUUAGUAGGAGUUUUAGCAAACCUAUUAAGAGAAAAAUAAUGGAAUUGGAUAAAUAUAAUUAGUUCGUUUUGCCUUGAAAGUUGGAGCACAAAUGUUGGAAUUACGCCUCAGUUAAAUGUGUUGCUGUGGAAAGUCUGCUGCUAACAAUUAUUUGUAAUAACAGCUUAAACAACAUAUUUAUCCACACUGAAAGACAAUCAAAUUGUCAGAGGUGCUAAUAAAGAGUUUUUACCAGCAAUGUUCACUUUGUUUUCAACACACUGCAGUCAUGUUGGAAUUGAAAUGCUCAGAAAAGUCUUAAUUUGCAAGUUUGAGUUCUGUCUUUCGGGGAAGUUCUUGUUUAAUUUUCAAAGUUUUAAUAAAAAAAAAACAGUAUUUGACAGUUAGACUGUAAUACAGUCACAUUAGAAGAAUAUUGGCACUACAAGGUUGACAAGUUAUGUAAAUGAGACUUAUUACUCUUCUUUGCAGUCUGAACUCAACGUAAUGCAUAAUUAUAGAACCGUAAAUCUUUGAAAAGCAGAAGUAGAACCUCCUGCACAACCAACAAGAAUGCAGCAAGUGGUUUCUGGAUGUUAUGUAAGUCAAUAAAAAAACUGUUGUAUUUUCCAGCAGCCAUUGUACAGCACAUACAGAGGUAAAACCAGUAGAACAAACUGGAGCUCUGCUUGGGUUUCUAUAGGUAAUGGGUUGUGCCUACUGAUCUGUGAUGUUUCAUUGAGAAGGUUUUGAAACGACUCAUUUUUCCAGACAAUAAACACAUUAACUUAUUA